rnacentral:precursor_RNA from 12 species
UGUGCAGAGAGACCCAUUUCCCGGACCCAUCCCAGGGCCGACCGCGCAGGUCGCUGGUGAAGCACACGGGGCGACAGCGGGCAGGCCUUGCCAUGGGCUCGUGGAGGAUGCUCUGAAAGCAGAG